UACGUAGGUGGCAAGCGUUAUCCGGAAUUAUUGGGCGUAAAGCGCGCGUAGGCGGUCUGUCAAGUCGGAUGUGAAAUCCCCGGGCUCAACCGUGGAGGGUCAUUGGAAACUGGAAAACUCGAGUGCAGAAGAGGAAAGUGGAAUUCCAUGUGUAGCGGUGAAAUGCGCAGAGAUAUGGAGGAACACCAGUGGCGAAAGCGACUUUCUGGUCUGUAACUGACGCUGAUGUGCGAAAGCGUGGGGAUCAAACAGG
rnacentral:rRNA from 1 species